AUUGAACGUUGGCGGCAGGCCUAAAACAUGCAAGUCGAACGGAAACAGUGGAAGCUUGCUUCCAGCUGUCGAGUGGCGAACGGGUGAGUAACGCGUAGGAAUCUACCCAGUAGUGGGGGACAACCCGGGGAAACCCGGGCUAAUACCGCAUACGCUCUGCGGAGGAAAGCGGGGGAUCUUCGGACCUCGCGCUAUUGGAGGAGCCUGCGUCGGAUUAGCUAGUUGGUAGGGUAAAGGCCUACCAAGGCGACGAUCCGUAGCUGGUCUGAGAGGACGAUCAGCCACACUGGAACUGAGACACGGUCCAGACUCCUACGGGAGGCAGCAGUUAGGAACCUUGGGCAAUGGGCGCAAGCCUGACCCAGCCAUGCCGCGUGUGUGAAGAAGGCCCUCGGGUUGUAAAGCACUUUCAGUGGUGAAGAAAAGAGCGAGGCUAAUACCCUCGAGUCUUGACGUCAGCUACAGAAGAAGCACCGGCUAACUCCGUGCCAGCCGCCGCCGUAAUAC
rnacentral:rRNA from 1 species